GGACCUUUAGCUCAGUUGGUGAGAGCAAUCGGCUCAUAACCGAUCGGUCCUGGGUUCGAGUCCCUGAAGGUCCA
rnacentral:tRNA from 2 species